rnacentral:rRNA from 1 species
UACAGAGGUGGCAAGCGUUGCUCGGUAUCACUGGGCUUAAAGGGCGCGUAGGCGGUGCGGUGCGGUUUCGGUGAAAUCCCUCGGCCCCAACCGAGGAACAGCCGGGGCUACGGCCGCGCUAGACGGCAUCAGGGGACAGUGGAACUCCCGGUGGAGCGGUGAAAUGCGCAGAUAUCGUGAGGAACGACCGGUGGCGCAAGGCGGAAGU